GGGGAAUUGUUCGCAAUGGGCGCAAGCCUGACGACGCAACGCCGCGUGGAGGAUGAAGAUCUUCGGGUCGUAAACUCCUUUCGAUCGGGACGAAUUGUCCGCGGGUCAAUACCCCGCGGGCGUGACGGUACCGAGAGAAGAAGCCCCGGCUAACUCCGUGCCAGCAGCCGCGGUAAUACAGAGGGUGCGAGCGUUAAUCGGAAUUACUGGGCGUAAAGCGCACGUAGUCGGCUUUGCAAGUCGGGUGUGAAAUCCCCGGGCUCAACCUGGGAACUGCAUCCGAGACUGCAUUGCUAGAGUAUGGGAGAGGGAAGCGGAAUUUCUGGUGUAGCAGUGAAAUGCGUAGAUAUCAGAAGGAACAUCAGUGGCGAAGGCGGCUUCCUGGACCAAUACUGACGCUCAGGUGCGAAAGCGUGGGGAGCAA
rnacentral:rRNA from 1 species